GGCAGUGUGAAAGCCAGGGGGCAGGCAGGCAGGCACCGGUGUCGGCUGUUGUGACCUGGUAAUUUCAAGGACGGACCAAGGUUCUGAAGGAAGUAGGACAGACUGUUUCAAUGGUAUGUGGAGGUGUAGUUGUUGAUGGUACGUGGAAGCGUAAUUGAGGGUAUGAACAGUGGAAAUGUGGAAAACAAAGCAGAAAAAGGGUAAAGGAAGAACUGAAUUAGAGAUCUUAAAGUCGGUGAUCUGCUCUAGCCAAAGUAGAUUGGCACCAGCAUGAGAAUGCAUCCCCCACACUGCCCCCCCGCACAGCUUGUAAGCAGAACUCUGGGAGGAAGAGCUGGAGGCCAGAGGCUAACGCAUCCCCUGCACUACCCCUGUCAAAAGCAAAGUGUUACUUGUGAACAGGGAAAGGACAGAACACUGGAAGUGAGAAUAAGCCUUUAUUUGCAGAGAUCUAGGAAACCCAAGAUCUCACUGUCAGCCCUGGAAACCUUGGAGGGGGGAGACGGAACUAUAUGAAGUAGGUUUUUUUGUUUGUUUGUUUUUGUUUUUUUUUGUGAAGUUUGGGAGAUGAAAAGGUUUGGGAAAGACACAGGUUAUGGAGGGCAAAUAAGAUCAAGGUUUAUCUGUGGCAAUUAAACACAGACUCCGUUGUUACUGCAGAACAAAAACUUUUAUUGUGUGCCAUGCACUUGAGCAAUAUGCACUUGGUCAAGUGCUUUGUUAAACAUGACCCUCAUGCUGCAAGUGACAGUGCUGGGUCUUCCAUGCUGCCCUGAAGGAGAGGGUGCUGGAGCUGGGCUCGUCCCUCCUGGGCCAUCCCGCACACCCGGUCUGUGUUGCUGAGUGCUGGACCGAGGCAUGGCUCUGUCAGCCUUAUCUCAAGUCUGUUAUACCUCAGCGGCAUCUCCCAGCAGUAGUGACGAGGUCGUGCAGGCUGUCAAAUACUUGGGUGUCAGUCACACAGAGCUUGUGGCUGUUUGCAUGCUGCCGCCAGUGUAUGCGACACUGCUGCAACUUCUCACGGUGCCAGAAGGACAGAACACAGUCCCUAACAAAUGUCUCACUCUCCCUGACAAGAAAGGAGCCAUCAGGGCCUCCAUCCCUGCACAGCACUCUGCCAGCAGCCGCUCAGCAAUGUGCCGCCCUCUGUGCCCUGCCCCCAGCUGCUAUGGAACCAUUUCUGCGCAAUGCUGCUCCACGUUGGUGCUCAGCUCCUCUGUGCAGGCCACCUCCCUCGUCUUCUCCUGGUUGGGGGAGCAUAAAGCGGGUUCCAUGCAUCAGUGAUGGACUCCUCCAUCAUUUGGCAAUCCGCCGCCUGCUCCUUUGUUGCACACAAACCCAUGGUUCCUUGCCACUCACCUCUGCCAAGCCACCUCAGUUUUGGCGAGGUUUGCCAAUGGUCUUUAUAGCAUCUGCUCACAUCUAUGCCAGGUGUACAAGCCAGACGUCUCAUGAUAGUGUCAAGAGGAUCUGUCUGGCAUGAAUAGUUAGAAUCUUUUGAUUUUUCCCUCCAUAUCUGCUGAACUUGCUGGUGAGUAUGAGAUGCAGCAGAGCACCUCUCCUCUUCAGUUCUUCUAUGGCUUGGUCAAGAAGCUGCCAGCUGUGCUCUCCGGGGAUCUCCUGGAUGGUGCAUGCCCUGCUGUGCUGUCCCUGCAGCACAUACUGGAUUAGAAAAGGCCCCCAAAGGCAACAAGGGCCUGACAACAUGAGGCUCCCAUCUGUCUGCAGAGGGCACCUUCCACCUGUUUUCCUGACCAAGAAGCCAUUCACUCUGACCUGCUUCCUCUGCCAUUCACAGGAAGAGCUCAGUGCACUCUCACAUUUCCGUGUCUUCUCACCCAUCCAUCGUCAAGACUCUGUAUGCUCCUUGUGCUACAGUCCAGUUGUGGAAGCCAUUUAACCGUGUCCCUGUGGUCCAAACAAGAACACAGGCCUGCAACAUUUCUAGCCCAGCUUGUGUUGGUGUUCUACUAGUGUAAAAACACAUAAAGAAACAACCUUAUGGGGAAGCAUCAUUAGAUUUAGCGUGGCUGUAUACUACAUCUAUUGUACUUGUGUUCAGAAGGUGGCACACAGGCAUUAGACCCAUUGUGGGGCUUGGAGUUGUCCAAGCAGCAUGCACACUCCUAGGCUUUCCUGAAGGCCUAUGCUCUAUUUGCAGCGACGUGUGAAUGUGCUGGAAACCCAAGCUAAUUGGCAUGAUGUCAGGCUGCUUCUGAAGCAAUUCACAUGAGAACACAUAGAAAACUGAUGUUUUGUCAGUUGAAGGAUAAAGCUGUGUGUUAGCUUUGCAGUGCCUUGAUCUCCAGAAUGUGCAGCAGAAGGAGAAUAGAGAAAGAUCUAGGUCUUCUUUUGGGAGCUCAGCCAUUUAGUAAAAUUCUGCCUGCUCCAUGGAGAUGGGUGAAAAAUACACUUUGAGAUGCCAUAAAUGCAGGGGUUUGUUCUCCUUUAGGAUGGUCAAAAAUACUGCUAAUCCUUCCCUGGCUCUCAGGAAGUAUGUGUCUAUCUCAGGGAUGUCCCACACACUUCACAAGCACUGGCACACAUCCAGGAGCACCCCAGGCACCUUGGUCAUCAACCAGGGUCUGUGUGUGAGCAACUGACUCCCUGCUGAAGGACCAAGGACUCAGAGCAGGAGCUCACAUGCAGGCAACUCCUUGUGCACAUCUGAACUCAACCAGAGGAAUCCCUGAAACUCCUGUGGGUCCUUGCAAAGCUGAAUCUCAUUUCAACCAUAGGGUUUCCAUCUAGGGAUGAGAUGCCUGCAUUGCCUCAGCUGGAUCACUGCCUAGCCCAGGGAAGUCCACCCCUCCCUGUCCUCAUCCUUUUAGUUACAGCAAGCACUCACUGGUAGGACUAACUGUAUGUCUGGAAUUAGUCACUGUUCACUGGGAUUUUGGUGGCUAAUUACACAGAUUUCAGAGUACAGUCAUGACGCUGUUGUCUUUCAGGAGCUGUUGGCCAUGGAGACCCAGGGACAUCUCAGGGGAGAUCAGUAGGGUGCAUAGAAAAGACAUCCUCUGCUGCUGAGGUACUCUGGGCUCCUGGGACACAGGGAACUCAUAUAAAGGGCAGUGCUGCAGAGAGACAACUGUGCCCAGGAGCUGCUCUUCUGCACGGCACAGCAGGGCUGGGGGCAUGACAUGCAGGUGGAAGAGAGAAGAAGGAAGAGAGCUUACAGGUAGUGAGGUGUGCUAGCAGACUGUGAGCUCACUGGAGGAGCAUUUCCCACAGCCCUUGACAAGUUAAGUCUCUGGCUUCAGGUAAUGCAGCUGCUUUUACUGGA